CUCUCCCAUUCUUUUUCAUUUCCCCCAUUUAUUUAGAUUGGCAAUUUUUAUUCUUCUUUUUUAUUUUCCACCGUCUGUCUCAACAAAAGUACCUUAACCAAAACUAAAAUGAGGAAAAAAUUUACAGCAGCCAACAAUUUAGCCAUUAAAUCAUGGUGUUUCUGCUUCUAAUCUUGCAGUUUGGGAAUUACCUAAUUGUUGCUUAUUUGAACAUGUAUAUCAGAUCCACUCUGGGGGGAAAUCCUAACAAGUCAAUACCAGCAACUCCUCGGGACCGAGUGAGUAAAUUGAGCAGGGGACUAUCAAAAUCUGACGCUGAUUCGACCUCGCCAUUGCAAAAUUCACGCAUUUCAGUUGAGAAAUCUCCAAGAUCUGUUACUUCCAAGCCUUCUGUGGAACGGCGGUCUCCUAAGAUCAGUACCCCACCUGAUGCAUUUGUUCGGAGGAAGAGAACUGGCUAGCCCAAUAUGGUCAAGUUGAACGACCAGUUGAUGAUUCUCUGUCACAUAUUCGGGUUGUUGAUUUGUGGGAUUGGUCAAUGGUUAAAAAGAUCAGAGAAGGUCAAAAAAGAAGAGUGACCAGGCUGGUAGGAGUAGGACGACUGGUGAAGCCCACUGCUAAGCUGCAUCCAUAAAUGCCCUCGAGUGGCCAUCUACUUAAAACUGCUCCAGUAUGUGAAGUCCAUCUUGAUCUGAAACUUCCCUCUUGUUUGUUACAUGUGAGCGAAAUCACGCCUCCCUGGUGGCUGCCCUGCAAAAUUAAAUGGCCCAAUACUUUCUUUUCAAGUCCCAGUAUUCUUCAUGUAGAAAGGGAGAGAAAAUAUUUGGAAAGCUUGUUAGAAAAAGAAGCAGUUUUUUAGUCUAGAUUUGCUUAACAAUUUGGGUACAAUUGCGAGGUGCAGGACAAAGGAGUUUAUGGAAGCUGUACAAACUGGGGCUGAUGUGAGCAUGAUUGGUCAAUUUGGUGUGGGUUUCUAUUCCGCUUACCUCGUAGCAGAGAAAGUUAUCGUAACAACCAAGCACAACGAUGAUGAGCAAUAUAUCCGGGAAUCACAAGCUGGGAAUUAUAGCAAUGAUUGAUGUAUCAUGUUCAGUGUGUUGGUAAAUGCUCACUAGUUCUGUAUUGAUAUUAGGAAAUUAUUGAUUUUUUUUUUUUAAAAAAUGUAUACUUUUGCCACGGUUUGAACCGUGGCUAUCUUUAAUGUGAAUUGAACAUAUUAGCCACGGUUUCUCGUGUGGUUAAUUAGAAAUUAAAAUUUUAUUUAUUU